GUCAAAUAGAAACUGUGGAACAUUAUUUACUAUUUUGUGAAAAUUAUGAAGAGACUAGACAGAAACUUAUACAUGAGAUAUACUUUAACAUGGGAUCAUUACAUAUUGAUUUGGAAACUUUUAUUGUCAAUAGAAAAAAACUACAAUUUCUCCGUCUCUAAUGAAACACUAAUGGUCCGAGACCACCAUUGUCGUCCCUUGAUUUUCGUUGUUCACAAAUAUAGUCCCUAGUGUUGACAGUGGGUUACUUGCCAUUAAUUUUUAUACCCCUUCCAAUUUUAUUUCUCCAUGUUUAAUGCCUCAAAUUGCAAGUAGGGGGAUGAAAUUACACUGUAAAAAAAUUU
rnacentral:lncRNA from 1 species